rfam:Aedes albopictus isolate Foshan contig133226, whole genome shotgun sequence.
UACCCUAGUGGUUAAGGAUAUGGAUUGCCAAUCCGGAGACGGCGGGUUCGAUUCCCGU